CUUGAAAUUUGGCAGGUAGGCUCCUUAUAAGACGUAGGCAUCCGCUAAGAACGGAUUUUACGAAAUUCGACCCCUAAGGGGGUUAAACGGGGGUUGGAAGUUUGUAUGAAAGUCCUAUGUGUUUGAAGUAAGAGACUUGAAAUUUAAAAUGUAUGCUCUAGAGAUAUAGUGAGAAGGUGUUCAAAUAAUGCAUCUUUAGAAAUCAACUCCCUUUUAGGGUUAAAACGGGGUAUGGUAAGUUGACUCACUCAUCACGAAAUCUCCGAAGCUAUAAC
rnacentral:misc_RNA from 1 species